UUUUUGGCAAAAGAAAACCUUACGUCUUCAUCCGCCUCCCAUAGCCUUUUAGGGUUCAUCCUAUUGUUCGAUCUCCGACGACUUCUCUGACUCCAUGAAUGGAAGUCGGAGAGAUUUAGUGGCUCAAACCGAUGUAAUGAUGUGGUUCUCUCUCUGCUAUAAUUUUGUCUUUAAAUCGAUCCUCGCCUUCUUCUUCUUCUUCUUCUUCUUCUUUCAGUUUAUCGGCAAAGCAUGAAGGGGGACGAUUCGAUCUUAGAUAUAAUGCCUCCAAGGAAGAAGCAGAAUAAAGGACCCAACAAAAAACGGAAGCUGAAGAACCUUGAGGAAGACAGGGAGAAAGAGCUCCUCUCUGCAAAAACUUCCAAGUUGUUAGAUUUCUCUGCAGCAAGUAUAAAAUAUCUCAGGAUUUGUUUUCGCUUUUCCAAUCUUCAAAAGCCAUAGGUAGAUCUGAUAAGAAGCUGGAGAAACGCAUGAGACCAAUGCAACUAUCUAAACCUGGUGUUUUGUCUGAUGAACCAGUCAAGGAAAAUGACAACUCUGAUUCAUGUAUGGACGAGCCUACCACACCUGAAAUCCAUAUCCCGACUCUUCAUACUGAUUCUCACCAACUUAUUCAUCCCAAUGAACUCGAUUCCAAAGUAAUGAUAAUCUCUGCUGAAGAGGUCCGUGAAGAAGAAUGGUUUGUGAAUUUUUUUAAAAAAUUCGGCUAUGAUGUGUGUGUUUCGUUUGAUUGGUUAUUAUUUCUAGAAAACCGGUUGCUGUAAGACCACUCAAGUUCCUCAGCCACGUCGUGUUGCUGUCCUCGCCACUGCCGAUAGGGUGGCUCAUGAGCUUGGUGUUCACCUCAGUCAAGAAGUCGGUUUCCAAGUUAGGUGCGACAAAAAGAUUGGCGAGAACUCAGCUAUAAGUUUAUAAAUGAUGGGAUAAAUCCGUGAAGUUAAGUGAUUGCAGGCAACAUAGAUUUUAAAAGAUCUUUAAGCUACAGAGGCAUUCUUCAUACACCCACCAGUCAUCCUCUAACUUAUUUGGCUUCCUAAUUCCAUGUAACAUUUAUGUACGUACAUUUGCAUCUGUGAAAACAGAGUAUUUCUUCAUACAUGCGCCGGUCAUCUUCCAAUUUAUUUAGCUUCCUAAUUCCCCGAAACAUUUACGUACUCUGGAUUUUCUAAUCAUUAUAACAAUCGCGUAUUUAUUAUUCAGGUUCAGUUGAUAUAAUAUAUCCCUCCUGGUAAUAAGAUCUAGGGGAGCAGUGGCCAUGUGGUUGACGGAAUGAUGAUAUCUUGCAUAUUUCCAUUGUUUUAUCCAUUCUCUAAUGUGCAUUUUGAUUAUAUAGACUAGGAUUUAGCCAUGUUUAGGUUGCAUUUUGCAUACAUGAGUCUUUAUCAGGUAUUGGAGUACCACAUGGAGUUCUUGGAGACAUUUGGGUGCAUUUGGAGCUCAAAAGAGGUGAUAAAGGUGAUCAUUGGACGAGCAGUGCAUGAGAGCGACCUCACCGGAGCGACACCGUGAAGUCGCUGUGACACCCCUUCAGAGCGACUUGGCCAGAGCGACACCCCGAUGUCGCUCGCGUUUUUAUCUCUUGGAGAUACAAAAAUAGACCUGGAGCGACGUCCCUAGAGCGACUACCCCAAGUCGCUCCUGAAGCCCGGAGCGAUGUGUGGGAGCGACUAUCCGAGGUCGCUGCGCGUCGUUUCUUUGGUCGAACUUAUGUUUUAUCAAGGGCCUUUUGGUCAUUUUAUUAUGCACGUUUUAUACUUUGAAAACCUAUGUUUAAGUAUCUUUUGUAAGCCAUUAGGGGCAGAAUAUCUUUUAUCAAAAGAAAACCACAAAAACCUCUUGGAAAGUUCAUCUCUUUGAAUCAAUUGAUCAUUUUGUUAUUGCAA